rnacentral:lncRNA from 1 species
GUGUCCCUGGAAAUGGGAAUUCCAUGGGAAAUGGGAAAAGUGGCUCGAAAAAUGGGUAAAUCACCUGGAAAUUGAGAAAUUCCAUGCGAAAAUGUCCCCAAAAUGGAGAAAUUCCCUGGAAAAAUGACCCUAAAAUGGAGAAAUUUGAUCAAAAAAUGACCCUAAAAUGGAGAAGUUUCCUGGAAAAAUGUCCCUAAAAUGGAGAAAUUCCCUGGAAAAAUGUCCCUAAAAUGGAGAAAUUCCAUGGAAAAAUGACCCUAAAAUGGAGAAAUUCCACGGGAAAAUGUCCCUAAAAUGGAGAAAUUCCACGGGAAAAUGGAAAAAUUCCAUGGAAAAAUGUCCCUAAAAAUGGGAAAUUCCAUGGGAAAAUGGGAAAAUCACCUGGAAAUUGAGAAAUUCUAUGGAAAAUUGUCCUUAAAAUGGAGAAAUUCAUGGAAAAUGUCCCUGAAAUUGAGAAAUUCCAGGAAAAAACGAGGAAAGUUCCAGGGGAAAAUGUCAGAGAAAUGGAGAAUUUUCCAUGGAAAAAUAUCCCAGGAAUUGAAAAUUCCAAUGGGAUUUUUGGACCUUUAUUUUAUGGGAUUUUUUUGAAUUUCUGGGCUCUUUUUUAACAUUAUUUUUUGGUUCUUUUUUUGGGAUUUUAGCCAGAUUUUUUUGGGAUUUGGGGC